rnacentral:rRNA from 1 species
UACGUAGGGUGCAAGCGUUGUCCGGAAUUAUUGGGCGUAAAGAGCUCGUAGGCGGUCUGUCGCGUCGGCUGUGAAAACUCGGGGCUCAACCCCGAGCCUGCAGUCGAUACGGGCAGACUAGAGUGCGGUAGGGGAGACUGGAAUUCCUGGUGUAGCGGUGAAAUGCGUAGAUAUCGGGAGGAAUACCUAUGGCGAAAGCAGGUCUCUGGGCCAUCACUGACGCUGAGCUGCGAAAGCUAGGGGAGCAAACAGG